rnacentral:rRNA from 1 species
GAUGAACGCUGGCGGCGUGCCUAAUACAUGCAAGUCGAGCGAACAGACGAGGAGCUUGCUCCUCUGACGUUAGCGGCGGACGGGUGAGUAACACGUGGAUAACCUACCUAUAAGACUGGGAUAACUUCGGGAAACCGGAGCUAACACCGGAUAAUAUAUUGAACCGCAUGGUUCAAUAGUGAAAGACGGUUUUGCUGUCACUUAUAGAUGGAUCCGCGCCGCAUUAGCUAGUUGGUAAGGUAACGGCUUACCAAGGCGACGAUGCGUAGCCGACCUGAGAGGGUGAUCGGCCACACUGGAACUGAGACACGGUCCAGACUCCUACGGGAGGCAGCAGUAGGGAAUCUUCCGCAAUGGGCGAAAGCCUGACGGAGCAACGCCGCGUGAGUGAUGAAGGUCUUCGGAUCGUAAAACUCUGUUAUUAGGGAAGAACAAAUGUGUAAGUAACUAUGCACGUCUUGACGGUACCUAAUCAGAAAGCCACGGCUAACUACGUG